AAUUUUUGCAGCCAUGAAUAAUUGGCUGGCCUUGAUAACAGGUCCGGAAUCGUUAAAGCCGCUAGAGCGAAAAGGUUCCGAUCCUUGCCGGUUGGUGUUGAAAACGUCCAAACGUGUUGCUUGUGGGUAAACUGACUGGAGAUCAACCGGAGAGUGGGACGACGUCGAAACGGAGAGAAACGAUGCUGCAAAAACCUAGGCAAAGCCGUUCAAAGUGGUGCUCACGUUGCAAGUCAGAUUUGUGGGUUUCACCAACGUGGGUGAGGUCGCGCAAAGAUGAAUCGCCGGAUUCUGUAGGACGUUGACGCUGCUCGUCGGAGGCUCCCCGCUCGUGGUCUGUGAUCGCCGGAUAACGAUAUUGAACAAGGGGGCGGCGGCAACCAGGGGAAGGAAGAAGACGAUGACCUCUCUAGAAU
rnacentral:misc_RNA from 1 species